AACGAACGCUGGCGGCAUGCCUAACACAUGCAAGUCGAACGAGACCUUCGGGUCUAGUUGCGCUCGGCGGCUUACGGCGUGGGAAGUUGCCCUUAGGUUCCGUAUAACUCCCCGAAAGGGAUGCUAAUACCGGAUAAGCUCUUCCGACCAAAGAUUUAUCGCCUUGGGAUGGGCCCGCGUUGGAUUAGCUAGUUGGUAGGGUAAAAGCCUACCAAGGCGACGAUCCAUAGCUGGUCUGAGAGGAUGAUCAGCCACACUGGGACUGAGACACGGCCCAGACUCCUACGGGAGGCAGCAGUGGGGAAUAUUGCACAAUGGGCGAAAGCCUGAUCCAGCAAUGCCGCGUGAGUGAUGAAGGCCUUAGGAUUGUAAAGUUCUUUUACCCGGGAUGAUAAUGACGGUACCGGGAGAAUAAGCUCCGGCUAACUACGUG
rnacentral:rRNA from 1 species